UUUUGAUAAGAAUUUCAAUAUAAAUAUUGAUGAAUAUCGUAAAUAUUACGACCUUACAAAACAUGCAUAACUGAACUUCGCUCAGAAUCGUUUUUCGUUGGUAAUUUUUAAUCGUUGAUCACAAAUAUACAUUGAAUUCCCCUCUAUUUCCUACCUUUCUAACUACUGACCUACAAUAGUGGCCAACCCGUGGUGUAUAAUAUGCCCAUCCA